rnacentral:rRNA from 1 species
AGGACAAACGCUGGCGGCGUGCCUAAGACAUGCAAGUCGGACGGGAGGCUUCGGCCUCUAGUGGCGGACGGGUGAGGAGCGCGUGGAGAACCUGCCCCGGGGUGGGGGAUACCCGCCAGAAAUGGCGGUUAAGACCGCAUACGAAUGCACCGUGCAGGCGGUGUAGGGAAAGCAGUGAUGUGCCCUGGGAGGGCUCCGCGUCGGAUUAGCUGGUUGGUGGGGUAACGGCCUACCAAGGCGACGAUCCGUAGCUGGUCUGAGAGGACGGCCGAGCCGACGACUGGGACUGAGACACGGCCCAGACUCCUACGGGAGGCAGCAGUUAGGGAAUUUUGACAAUGGGCGCAAGCCUGAUCGAGUGACGCCGCGUGCGGGAUGACGCCUUCGGGGUGUAAACCGCUUUUCCCAGGGACGAGGAGGGACGGUACCGUGGGGAAGAAGGUCUCGGCUAACUACGUGCCAGCAGCCGC